rnacentral:rRNA from 1 species
CUGGCGGCACGCCUAACACAUGCAAGUCGAACGAAGUAGCAAUACUUAGUGGCAGACGGGUGAGUAACAUGUAGGUAUCUGCCCUUUGGCCUGGAAUAACACGAGGAAACUUGUGCUAAUACCGGAUAAGUCUUUACGGAGAAAGCUUUAUGCACCAUUGGAUGAGCCUGCACUUGAUUAGUUUGUUGGUGGGGUAAUGGCCUACCAAGACUGUGAUCAAUAGCUGAUUUGAGAGGAUGAUCAGCCACAUUGGGACUGAGACACGGCCCAAACUCCUACGGGAGGCAGCAGUGGGGAAUCUUGCACAAUGGAGGAAACUCUGAUGCAGCGAUGCCGCGUGAGUGAAGAAGGCCUUUGGGUUGUAAAGCUCUUUCGUCGGGGAAGAAAAUGACUGUACCCGAAUAAGAAGGUCCGGCUAACUUCGUGCCAGCAGCCGCGGUAAUACGAAGGGACCUAGCGUAGUUCGGAAUUACUGGGCUUAAAGAGUUCGUAGGUGGUUGAAAAAGUUGGUGGUGAAAUCCCAGAGCUUAACUCUGGAACUGCCAUCAAAACUUUUCAGCUAGAGUAUGAUAGAGGAAAGCAGAAUUUCUAGUGUAGAGGUGAAAUUCGUAGAUAUUAGAAAGAAUACCAAUUGCGAAGGCAGCUUUCUGGAUCAUUACUGACACUGAGGAACGAAAGCAUGGGUAGCGAAGAGGAUUAGAUACCCUCGUAGUCCAUGCCGUAAACGAUGUGUGUUAGACGUUGGAAAUUUAUUUUCAGUGUCGCAGCGAAAGCGAUAAACACACCGCCUGGGGAGUACGACC